UACGUAGGGCGCAAGCGUUGUCCGGAAUUAUUGGGCGUAAAGAGCUCGUAGGCGGCUUGUCACGUCGGGUGUGAAAGCCCGGGGCUUAACCCCGGGUCUGCAUUCGAUACGGGCUAGCUAGAGUGUGGUAGGGGAGAUCGGAAUUCCUGGUGUAGCGGUGAAAUGCGCAGAUAUCAGGAGGAACACCGGUGGCGAAGGCGGAUCUCUGGGCCAUUACUGACGCUGAGGCACGAAAGCCAGGGGAGCGAACGGG
rnacentral:rRNA from 1 species